UACGGAAGGGGCAAGCGUUGUUCGGAAUCAUUGGGCGUAAAGGGCGUGUAGGUGGUUCUGUAUGUCUACCGUGAAAGCGUACGGCUCAACCGUAUUUAGUCGGUAGAAACUGCAGGACUUGAGGCUGGGAGGGGCUGGUGGAAUUCCCCGUGUAGCGGUGAAAUGCGUAGAUAUCGGGAGGAACACCAACGGCGAAGGCAGCUUGCUGGGACGGUACUGACGCUGAGAUGCGAAAGCGUGGGGAGCAAACAGG
rnacentral:rRNA from 1 species